rnacentral:tRNA from 1 species
GCCUAGCUGGCUUAGUCAGUAGAGUAUGGGACUCUUGAUCUCAGGGUUGUGAGUUCAAGCCCCAUAUGAGGUG